rnacentral:misc_RNA from 1 species
UACGGAGGGUGCAAGCGUUAAUCGGCAUUACUGGGCGUAAAGCGCACGCAGGCGGUCAGUCAAGUCGGAUGUGAAAUCCCCGGGCUCAACCUGGGAACUGCAUCGGAAACUGGCAGGCUAGAGUCUUGGAGAGGGGGGUAGAAUUCCAGGUCUAGCGGUGGAAUGCGUAGAGAUCUGGAGGAAUACCGGUGGCGAAGGCGGCCCCCUGGACGAAGACUGAAGCUCAGGUGCGAAAGCGUGGGGAGCAAACAGG